GCCCGCUUGGCUCAGUGGUAGAGCGUGUCACUAGUAUGGAACAAUUGGUAGAGAUGAAGAGAUCAUCUAUCUAUCUAUCUAUCUAUAUAUAUAUCAAGGUUGUGGUUCGACCCCCACAUCGGGCU